CGACCAAGGAGUCUAACAUGUGCGCAAGUCAUUGGGUAAUUUAAACCUAAAGGCGUAACAAAAGUAAAAAAAUCUCUUUGCUUUGUUAGGGAGGAUGAGUGUUUGCUAAGUAUUUUACUUGCUGCGCUCCGCACUCCCGGGGCGUCUGUUACUCAUUGCGAGUAAAGGCGCACCUAGAGCGUACACGUUGGGACCCGAAAGAUGGUGAACUAUGCUUGACCAGGAUGAAGCCAGGGGAAACCCUGGUGGAGGUCCGUAGCGAUUCUGACGUGCAAAUCGAUCGUCAGAGUUAAGUAUAGGGGCGAAAGACCUAUCGAACCAUCUAGUAGCUGGUUCCCUCCGAAGUUUCCCUCAGGAUAGCUGGUGUCAAUGAUGAGACGAGUCUCAUCCGGUAAAGCGAAUGAUUAGAGGCCUUGGGGCCGAAACGACCUCAACCUAUUCUCAAACUUUAAAUGGCUGAGAGCCUUGGCUUGCUUAAAAGUGAAGCCAGGGAUUUGGAUCUAAGAUGCCAAGUGGGCCAAUUUUGGUAAGCA
rnacentral:rRNA from 1 species